UUUUGCUUUCUGACAUUUCCCCAUGGACUUCUUUGAGUUGCAAGUUUUUUCUUAAUUAUUAUUUUAAAUUUUAUUUACUUUUAGGUGCAUAGCAUGUGGGAUCUUUGUUCCCUGACCAGGGACUGAACUUGUGUCUCCAGGACUGGAAGUAUGGAGUCUUAACCACUGGAUUGCCAUGGAAAUCCAAAGUUGUAAGAUUUUAAAGGACUUUGUUUGACAUAUUAAAGACAGGGUAAAUGGGAGCCAAUGAGUCAGUUACAAACUCUGCAAAUAACAUAUGUACCUUGGUGUUCCUGCUGAUUUUACUAAACCUCGACCACGAGUUCCUGAGACAGACAUACUGAAUCUGAACCUCCAGAAGUCUAUUCCAGCCCUUUCUCCAGAGAUGCAAACCCAAAGGCUUGAACUGGCUUGGCACAACCUCAGGAGGCUCGGGCAGAAUUUCCCUUUACAUGUGGUUAUUCAAGAUCUUGGACAUAGGCCACGUCUGCCUGAUGCUGGGAAAGACUGAAGGCAGGAGAAGGGGAUGACAGAGGACGAGAUGGCUGGAUGGCAUCACUGACUCAAUGGACAUGAGUUUGAGCAAGCUCCAGGAGAUGGUGAUGGACAGGGAAGCCUGGCACGGUGCAGUCCAUGGGGUCGCAAAGAGUUGGACACGGCUGAGCGACUGAACAACAACAACAUCUGCCAAGGGGAAUUGAGAGUGUUUCCUCUCUGCUCUCUCAUCUCUGUUUGCUCCUCUCCUAGUAAUGGAACUGAAAAGUAUGAGUUACUGUGAAGGACCAUGAGGCCAUGAAGCCAACCUGAGAGAACAAAGCUUGUACAGAUGUCGUUUCCCACCACCCCGAGUGGCAGCUGUGGCCUGGCCUUAUUCAGAGAGUAGGCAAAGUCCCCACUUUGCAUUUCAGAUGGCAGGAUGGAGAAUUUCACAGCUCUUUGGCCUGUGCCUGAAGCUUCCAUUAAUUUUGGUGACUGGUGGUUGUUCACAAACCUCUUAUAUUAUUUCCAUGGUUCCCCGGCCCUCAUCCAAGCCUGCCUCACAUACCUGGAUGCCCACUGCUCAUCUAGCAGUUUCUGCCUUAGCCCGUCCUGGGCCUGAACUAGCUGCAGAUGCCAGAGAGGACAUAGUCCCUCAUCGGAUAUAUGCCCUCAUCUGUCUCCUGUCACAGAGGCCCAUGGGUGACCUGGGAUCACAGAUGAGGACACUGAGAUUCAGAGAGGCAUCAUGUUGGAAGCUUCAGUGGAGAGAAAGCGGCUGGAGUUGGAGCUCAGCUCUGUAUGAAUCUGCACUCUUCAUCCUAACUGAGAUGAAGUGAAGUGAAAUCGUUCAGUCGUGUCUGACUCUUUGCGACCCCAUGGAUUGCAGCCUCCCAGGCUCCUCUGCCCAUGGGAUUUUCCAGACAAUAGUCCCGGAGUGGAUUGUCAUUUCUUUCUCCAGGGGAUCUUCCCAAUAUCUACCUGGGUUCGAUACCAGGGCUCGAACCCAGGUAUCCCACACUGUAGACAGACGCUUUACUGUCUGAACCACCAGAGAACCUAAUUACUCCCUUUUCCUGAGUGCAGAAACCACCGAUAAGGCCCUGUGACAAGGGCUUUAAAUGCAUCAUCAUACAAAAUUCUCAGUUUGGAUAGCAGGUUCUAUCAUGAUCCCAAUUUCACAGAUGAAGGAGCAAUCUUAGAGGAUUUAACAGGAUGGUUUGUAAGUCCCACAGAUAGGAAAUGGUGUAGAGAUAUUCAAAUAGAGGCCCUCGAUUCUGAGAGCCCAAAUGUUAAAGCACUAGCUUGUCUCACUUUCCGUGGUCAUGACAGGAGUGGGUGUCUCUGCAUGGCAUGUAAUCUACAGGCCUCUCCCUGCCCUGUGUCCCCUAAGUCUGGGAUCAGUUGAAGUGACUGAAUGAGCACUGAGGCCCUGCUCACUAGCCUCAGCUCUUAUUGCCCAGAGAUCUGCAUUUUACCCUGGAAGGUCAGCCUGCUGAGAGUAUUGCCACCACUGACAAUGAGGCACUGUUGCCUCAGCUUAACGAAGGAGCAGAGUGGCCUCUCCUGCCAGCUGCAGGCCUCUGUAAUGGAUCCAUGAUAAAUCUUUCUAGCAGCAUCUCAACUCAACCAAAGUGCCAAUCUCAUGGCACCUUUAGGUGCUCAGAGUCUGGCCUACAGUGCAAAUAAGGUCCAUGACCCACAGGGAGACAGCUGCUAGCAGUGGCCUCUGAUAAACAGGGGAGCUGGUAGCUAUAUGCACUGCAGGCUAUUUAAGACAUACCAAUGGGUCUUGAGCUGCAGGGCCCCAUGGCUUGCAGUGCAUGAUUCAAGAAGUAGAUUCAUUAGCAGAAGGGACAUAUCAAGAGUCAAAUGCAAAACCCAUGAGAAUGAUGCCCAGAGUCUUCUGUGCCCAUAUACCUCAGUAAGCUUUAGGAUACAGCUAGGAAUUGCUAGAUGGCCUGGGGGAAGAUGUUUCUGGAAGCACUACCACCCACAGUGUGGCCAGAGCUCCAGGGAGCAGUUAACUCUGGCAAUAGUUUGCCAGGAUGUCUUCUAAUUUCUUUGUUCAAAGGGUCUCUGGGCCACCUCUACCAUGAGCAGAGGGUUAGCCCUGUGUUGUGAACCUGCUGUGUGGUAGCGGCAUGUAAUUCUAGGUUGCAGCAGAUGUGUUAUAGCCCUGAGACAUUUUCAGGAUUCCUUGGGAAAUGCUAUUGCAUAGCAGUUUGGGGGAUUAAAUUGUGAGCUGUGGCAGCAACCAUAUUUAAUAUGAGGAUUUGCUUUUGGUAUUACGGUCUUGUGGGGUGGAACUGGCAAAGUGG
ensembl:lincRNA